rnacentral:lncRNA from 1 species
UCUGUCUUUUUUUUUUUUUUCUUUUUUUCCUGGCACUGUGUAUCUUAAAAUACAGCAAUGAUUAUAAUCAUUGGCUAUGUAAAAAAAAGUAAAAUCUCACCAUUGAUUUUGGAAUCCUAGAGGUGAAAUAAAGUCCCUGCUCCAAGGAUGCAUUAAUUGUAUUCACAAUGUUUUUGACAGAUGCUUGUCCAGCUUUGUUUAAAGACCCUCAUAAAAGAGAUUUAACCGCCUCUCAGACAGUGUGUUUAAAUAUUCUGCUAUUUUUAUUAUAUGGUUCCAUUGGGGGUUUUAGUUACAUCUAACCUAAUUUUUCCCUGUUAAGUUUUAAGGCCAUUAAUAUUUUCUGUACCUUAGAAAUUUCAAAUAUAUGCCUUUUUUCCUUCAAAUGAGUAAAUAAACAGCAAAAACAUGUUCUUCAUUGUUACUAAUGUACAUGUGAUCACGCUUAAGAUAAGUCAGCACUGUACAGUUGCUUUGCCCUACUUUGAGCUUUCCUGUAACUUGAAUGAAAAAGGCCUGUGAUUCAUUGCUGAAGAAUCCAGAUUCUAUCAUGGAGCACGAACCUCAUUCUCUUUCACUUCUGCAGAGGACAGUGUUACACAACUAAUAUGUUAUGUGCCAGGGCAAAUGCAAAUAAACAGACUUUAAACAAUGGAAUUGUUACUGAAUUUUGUCUGAAAUAAAUAAGAAAUAGCAUCCUAGAGUUAUGCUUUUUAAUUUAAUUUUCGGUCUGCAAAUGUACCUUUAUGUAAUAAAAUAACUUUCUGAUAAUUGAAGACCAUGAAGACACAGUUUAUUCAUUGAUAGUGCAUAGCUGACACAGCUCUGGGAGAGUGACUUACAUUUUUGUUUUCAGAACUCUGAAUUCAAACCUUAAAAUGGUAUCUUUUCCAUAAACCAGACAAAAGGUCAUUUGCCUGUCAGAUCUUACAGUAAGAUAGUAGCCUUUUUUUUUCUUUUUUUAAUGAUUUCCCCCCCCCUUGUAUUUGCUAUAAGCUGUAAGAAAACCUCUCUGCAGACAUUUAGAAAAAGGAAUGAAUAGUACUUUUACAGCUUUGGUCAUUCAGGUUAAUUUUAUCACAGGGACUUGGAAAAUAAAGAAGAACUCAAUAUGUAUAUUGCUUCUUUGUUUUUCCUAUUCAGCUCUGCAAGCCAAAAGGAACAAGCACCAAAGAUUGGUUUUUUUUUCUCUUUCUCCCACAUUCGUGAAGGGCCACAGUCACUAUACAGAGGUGAAGGAAAACUCAUGCUAUCA